rnacentral:misc_RNA from 1 species
UACGUAGGUGGCAAGCGUUAUCCGGAAUUAUUGGGCGUAAAGCGCGCGCAGGCGGUUCCUUAAGUCUGAUGUGAAAGCCCACGGCUCAGCCGUGGAGGGUCAUUGGAAACUGGGGAACUUGAGUACAGAAGAGGAAAGUCGAAUUCCACGUGUAGCGGUGAAAUGCGUAGAGAUGUGGAGGAACACCAGUGGCGAAGGCGACUUUCUGGCCUACAACUGACGCUGAGGCGCGAAAGCGUGGGGAGCAAACAGG